CUCAGCAUCCCGAGUAGCUGGGACUACAGGCGCACGCCACCAUGCCCGGCUAAUUUUUUGUAUUUUCUAGUAGAGACGGGGUUUCACCAUGUUGGCCAGGAUAAUCUCUUGACCUCGUCAUCCACCUGCCUUAGCCUCCCAAAGUGCUGGGAUUACAGGUGUGAGCCACUGCGCCUGGCCCAUUUUUGUAAGUUUUUAAAAUAACAUUUUAAAAAUUGAUAUCACAUCACAGGUUCGUAGCAAUUUCCAUGUAAUAUAUUUUCAAAAACAAGUUCUCUAUAUUCCUUUGGUAAACGUUUAUAUAUCCCUGCAUCAUAAUAGUUUCUUUCAUGUUAGCAGUUCAUUAGGUUUAUUCUAAGAUUCCUCAGACAUGUAACAAAUGUCACAAUUGGCUCAUGAUUAUGCUUCAGAAGAUGCAUACAACAUAAUCAAAGUCAACCGUUUCUCUGGCAGCAUCAAUUUACUAGAAAACAUUCUAAAGAAUUUAACCAAAUGUCAAAGCUUAAAGGCUUUUAAAAUGACCUUCAACAUCUUAAAAUUUUCAUUGUAUUUUAGAAUUGAAUGGAAUACUACAGCUCAUCUAAUCCAGCAUCUUUCAUUCAUAAGCAUGCAAACAUACAUCUAGAAACAUAUGGGUCUUGCCAGUUGGUGGCAAAGCUUUAGCUAAAACUUAUCUCCUAACUCCAGAGUCUUCUCCCCUAAACCAAGCCAAUACAGUUGCAGAAAUCAGUUUGGGAGAUGAGAUCUAUGGAUUGAAAUAAUUUUUAGAGGAAAAAAAACUAACUUAAAUUUCAAAAUUUAAUUUCUAGGCCAAGUUGAAAGUCUAUCACUCUUUCGAGUUUGCUCCUAUUCUUUUCCCUUCCUCAAGGUUGUUUGCCUGCAAAUGAAACUGUAAUGAGUUUGAGAAAGCCAUGGCUAUCUUUCUCAGUAUUUGUUCUAUUAGCCCAGUCUUUUCCGAAGUAAAUUCCACAGGACACUAGUUCCAUUGCCAUUAAUAGGUGAUACUGACAGAUAAGUUUGCACAGGGAUGAACUAGUCAGUCUGGUUUGUACUGAAGAACUUCUCAAAGCUGUUACAGUAGUCCCCCGACUUUGCUGUGUCGCUUUCCGUGGUUUCAGUACCUGUGGUCAACUGCAGCCCCAAGAUAUAUAUGUAUUUUUUGAGAUGGAGUCUCACCCUGUUGCCCAGGUUGGGGUGUAGUGGCAUGAUCUCAGCUCACUGCAACCUCCGCCUCCCAGGUUCAAG
rnacentral:lncRNA from 10 species